rnacentral:rRNA from 1 species
CCCCUAAAAAACUAGGUCUCAGUUCAGAUUGCAGGCUGCAACCCGCCCUGCAUGAAGUCGGAAUCGCUAGUAAUCGCGGAUCAGCAUGCCGCGGUGAAUACGUUCCCGGGCCUUGUACACACCGCCCGUCACACCAUGAGAGUCGGGAACACCCGAAGUCCGUAGCCUAACCGCGAAGGGGGGCGCGGCCGAAGGUGGGUUCGAUAAUUGGGGUGAAGUCGUAACAAGGUAGC